rnacentral:misc_RNA from 1 species
UUCGUCGCUGUUUCCGUCGGUGCCAACAUCUCCGGCGGCCACGUCAACCCCGCCGUCACCUUCGGUGCCUUCCUUGGCGGCAACAUCACCCUCAUCCGCGGCAUCCUCUACUGGAUCGCCCAGCUCCUCGGCUCCACCGUCGCCUGCUUACUUCUCCGUUACACCACCGGCCUCCCCACCGGUACCUUCGCCCUUGUUGAGGGAGUCAGCGUCUGGAACGGCCUGGUACUUGAAAUCGUCAUGACUUUCGGGCUGGUCUACACCGUCUACGCCACCGCUAUUGACCCGAAGAAGGGUAACAUUGGUACGAUUGCCCCGAUCGCCAUUGGUUUCAUCGUCGGCGCUAACAUUCUUGUCGGUGGGGCUUUCAGCGGUGCCUCGAUGAACCCGGCCAUCGCUUUUGGCCCGGCCUUGGUUAGCUGGAGCUGGGCGAGCCACUGGGUGUACUGGGCUGGUCCGCUCAUCGGUGGUGCUCUUGCUGGGAUAGUCUAUGAGAUCUUCUUCAUUGAUCAUCAUUCGCACGAGCCGCUCCCCUCCGCCGACUAUUGAUCGAAUCGAGAUCUUUGAGUUUGGAGUUUAAAUUUCGUUAUGGUCUUUGUUUUGUUAUUUGCUUUGAAGUUGUUUCAUCGUCCUGCGUUUGUUUGGAGAAUUUGUGAGAGGAGUAGGUGUUCUCUCAGUGUAUAAUGUUGAGCAUUCCGGUGGUGGUGAAGGUGAUGCAGUGAUGUUGCUCUUGUUUUUCUAUACUUGGUUUGUAUUUUUGCUAUUCUUGGAUUGUGUUUUGGUAUGAAUGAUUGGGG